CAUGUGGUUUAAUUCGAUGAUACGCGAGGAACCUUACCUGGGCUCGAACGUAAGAUGACUGUAGGUGAAAGCUUACAUCUCUUCGGAGCAUUUUACGAGGUGCUGCAUGGUUGUCGUCAGCUCGUGCCGUGAGGUGUCGGGUUAAGUCCCAUAACGAGCGCAACCCCUACCUUUAGUUGCCAUCAGGUUAAGCUGGGGACUCUAAAGGAACUGCCUACGCAAGUAGUGAGGAAGGCGGGGAUGACGUCAAAUCAGCACGGCCCUUACGUCCAGGGCUACACACGUGCUACAAUGGCCGAUACAGAGGGCAGCUACCUGGUGACAGGAUGCAAAUCUCCAAAGUCGGUCUCAGUUCGGAUCGGGGUCUGCAACCCGACUCCGUGAAGUUGGAUUCGCUAGUAAUCGCGCAUCAGCCAUGGCGCGGUGAAUACGUUCCCGGGCCUU
rnacentral:rRNA from 1 species